rnacentral:tRNA from 1 species
CGCGGGGUGGAGCAGCUUGGUAGCUCGUCGGGCUCAUAACCCGGAGGUCGUUGGUUCAAAUCCAACCCCCGCUACCA